GCGAAUCAGCGGUUGUCACGUGCUUCUGUCUACUGCCUCCGCGAUACGGUGAAGGAGAGCACGAAGCACAAAGAGGAAGGCACACGCUUCAGAGAAAACGAAUCAACGCCAGGCGAACGCAGCAUCGCAUUAGGAGUCUUGCUCGUCGCUUGUUGUCACUGAUUCGUGUUUAUUAUUUCACACUCCGCAUGCAUUCUGGUGCUGCCUCAGCGAAGGUGAUUGCAUGCGAGAAGCCUUUGUGUGAGAGCUAACGCUUCCUUUUUCUGCUGUUUUUUAUGGUGUGCUCCACUGCCACCGCCUCCACAUCACUAUACUGUCCCCUCAUGCUCACCACAGAAUCAUGUCGGAGGAUCUCGAUAGUUGGGAUGCCUACCGCCUCUUCUGCAUAUCUGCAGCCGCCGCCGACGGCGACGAGGGCGAGCUGCAGGAUCGCCUCGGGAUCGUGGAAGAAUAUCUGACCGAGUACGAGGGGCUGUGCCGCGUGUUUCACAAGGCGCAGCGCACCACGCACGCGCAGGAAAUCCGCCGGCUACUCGCAGACGAAGCAGAGGAGAGAAGAUUUUUGAAAGAAGACGCCGACUCGCUGCCGUGGAAGCUCUUUAUCGAUAUGUCCUUUGCAUGUGCGCAGGAGCUGGUGGUAGAGCACGAGACGAAGAUGCGCCACGGUAUUGUGGUCGCGUACACCGCGUCCUUCACGGAACUGCUCUUCCCUUAUGAGACGCUGCAGCGAAUGCGGCUCACAUGGGAAGCACUCGACUCACUGGCACUGAAGGCGUGCAUUGUUGGCCGAUACGGUGUCCGCGAAGGCCAGCUGGCCCGUACCAGCAUCCCGGGGUAUACAGCUGACUCAACAUUUCCACCCUCUGCACGUGCGGCAGCAGCAGCUGGUACGGUGCGCAGUCUUCUCGCGGAAGAGCAUCAGGAGCGCCAAGAGAUAAUAGAGGCACGUGGGCAGCACGUUGCAGCCGCCCUACUUCUCCUGGCCUCUAGCGAGAAGUUCCGUAGUUUCGCCUCUGCCUCGGUGUGUGGCAUGAGGCUCUUGCCACAGCUUAGGAGCAAUCUUGCAUCGACAGCACGCCAGGCGCUAGACAACAGUGCAACCCGCAUCCAGUCCGCAUACCGAGGCUAUCGUGUGCGUGCCAUGCGCGCUAGGUCAUGAUAACGGCGAGAGACACGAGCAGGGCUAUUGCUUGGUUCUCCUCUCUCACUCUGUCUGAGGGACAUUCUCUCUCGAGUAGCGCCUUUGUCCCGUGCCUUGCACACACGCAUCAUACAUAUAUAUAUAUAUAUAUAUAGUUUUUGGUCUAUGCGCUGUGAAGCACCUUUCCGCCUUCUAAAGAGAGGCGUGCAUAUGCGCGGGCGUCAGUGAUGUACAAGAAGGUGUUGUCUUCAUUGUCUUGCUUGUAUUUUUUUUUUCGUUAUUUGGUGCCUCCGCCUGCGUGAGAGAAGUCGGCCUAUUUUUUGUUUCUCUUCCCUCGCUGCCGCUGCAACGCAGAGACAGCCGCGGUGAGCACAUGGAAGACGCAGAAGG
rnacentral:misc_RNA from 1 species